UGUAUGUUAGGCUAAGUAAAGACGGUCACUCACUCCUCGCCAAUGGAACUCAGUGCAUGACCAGAGAGACUCAGCACGAGAAACUGAAUGACGUCUCCUGUCUCUGUCAGAUGCAACCUAUGAAAACAAUGACAGGGACAGGCCUCUAUUCGCUUGCUUGCCUUCUCAUGAUCAGCAGUGUCCGCUCUACCUGUGUUCCUUUGGAGUGUCUGAGGUGUGACAUAAUCCCCUCACCUGAAGUGUCUGGGAAUCACAAAGCAGAUGAGGCCACCUGUGAACACCUGUGCUCUAACACUACCCAAUGUCUCAAUACCACUGAUGUAGGGAAUUGCAUAAAAGAUUUUGAAGUGUUUCUGAACACCAGUAAUGGAUUUGAAGUGGAGGAGGGUGAUGACCUCACAAUGGAGUGUGCCCACGACCUACCGGUGAGAGAUCAUGACCUGCUGGUGUUUGUCUGGCUGAAGGAUGGGCUUCCCCUGGAGGGCGAGAACAAUAGCACGGUGACCUUGGAGAGGAUAGGCAUAGAUACCCCUGCCGAGGGGAUAUACACCUGCACCAUCCAGAGUCCCUGUGGCAACUUCACCUCAGAUCCAGAAGAACUUGAAUUUAAAGACCUGACAGUGGUGAUCAUUGUGAUCUGUGGUGUGUCUGCUGUGGUGCUGGUCCUGUCCCUGGGCAUGGGCAUCAAGAUCAUGCUGAAGAAGGACUUUGCGAAGACCAAGACCAGGAUGCAGCAUAAUACUCAGAACAUACGGAACACCGCCAACACAACAGAGUAGGGUUUCCUUUUUCCCAAAAACCUAGCCAUUUUCUUCCUGAGAAAAUUGCAAGCCUUUCCCGGGCAUCCAUGUAUUCCCGUUAAAACAGGAAAGGCUUUUUAAAAGCAUAUAAAAAUCUGAUUCACUGUAAAUGGAGAAAGAUACACACGUGUCUAACGGUUUCUUGCUCUAUUUGUUGCAAUUUAAAGGUCCAAUGCAGGCGUUUUUAUCUCAAUAUCAAAUCAUUUCUGCGUAACAAUUAAGUACCUUACUGUGACUACUUUAAAUUAAAAUGGUAAAACAGAUACAAAAUUAGCUUUUUACCAAAGAGCAAUUUCUCAAGCAAGAAUUUUGCUUGGACUGUCUGGGAGUGGUCUAGGUGGUGAGGGGAAACUGAAAAUGUGCUGUUAUUGGCAGAGAAGUUUGGAACUCUCUUUCGUAUUGGUCCAUUAACUAAUUUACCGCCUGGUGAUGUCACCAGGUGGGCCAAAACUUUUUAAAAAAUGGAAUUAUCAUAAUUUUCACAAAUUCACAGUAUUAUUCGAAACUCUAGGAAAUCACGUUUUUCUAGGCCUUAAAUCAACAUAAAGUCCCUUCAAAGUCACCACACUGUUUCGUUGAUGUUGCCUAGUUUUAAUGUAGGUCUAUGAAGCACUGUCGGCCGACUGAUAACAUAUUGUUACAGCCUAGUGAAAAUUAUGGUCAUAACCAUGUCAUAAUAUGUAUAUAGCUGACAUAACUUGUCAUAAGCUGUUAUAAUAUGGUCAUAACACUGUCGUGACACUUAUAUUUCGGCCUGUUGUGACAUAUAUUGCGUUAUUUUAUGACUGGUUAUUAUGACACCUAGAUAAGAGUGUCCAAACCCACAGAACCUACCGCACAAGGCAAAACAUUCAAUUACACCAUAGCCUACAUGUCUACAAUACGUUUAUGUUAUAUUUCUAGGUUGAAAUUGACCAUAUUAAAUUAUCAUUGCAAUGGAGCACACAUUGAUGUCAGACAUACACCUACCGCAAUGCUCUCUUGCUAAUGACUCGGAUGAAUGCAGGAGCAGAUUUCAGGAACAGGACAAGAUACCCUCUUUUUGACUGAUGACAUAAGGGCCUAUCUGUCUUAUAUUUGAUAUUUGAUAUGUAUUAGCGUUCCCAUUAGCCGCUGCAAAGGCUUCAGCUACUCUUCCUGGGAUCCACAUGAAACAUGACAUAAGACAUAGUACAUAACAUUAUUAGUCAAGGACUUAACUACAUACAUGUCAAAUGUAACACAUUUCAGUCCAUACACACAAUACCUAGGACAAAUACAUAGUACAGUGUAAAUUACAAUAAAAUAUAGGUCGAAUCUCUGUCUCUUCACAGUCCCCUUUGUGCAGUAAGGUGUUCUUUUAACCUGGUUCUGUUGCGAGCUUGAGCUAUAUGAUUAAGGUGGUCAUAAUGCUUCUUGACAGUGACAUAAAGUGUAUUUUGUUAGUCCAGGUAAAGUGACACAGGGAGGUCAUAAUGCUUCAUGACAGUGAGUAUAAAGUGCAUUUUCUAUGUUAUUUAAAAUAUGAUGGGGGAAAAAAACACGACUGUAAAGAAUACAUUACAACAACAACAACAAACAAUGAACAAACCUUCAAACAAAAGGAAACCUCUUGGCAGGGAAAAACUGAAUAAAUGUGUGUUUUAACACUCUUAUGUAGGUUUCAUAACCAGCCAUAAAAUAACACAAUAUAUGUCACAACAGCUGUAAAUAUAUGGGUCAUGACAGUGUUAUGAUCAGUGUUAUGACAGGUUAUGACAAGUUAUGUCAGCUGUUAUGACAUAUUAUGACAUGGUUAUGACCGAGUCAUGACGUGUUAUGACACUGGGUGUCAAGUAAAAUGUUACCAAAUUUACAUUAGUCUUAGUCUACCUUUGACUGAAAGAUGUCAGCCAGCUUUUUGGUCCUUUUCUCUCUCCUUACACCUGGCUAUCAGGGGAAUUUGCGACAGUUUGGGCUGUUUGCACUUAAUGAUACCUUUUGGCAUGACAUAUCCAAUGCACCAAUGUAACAAACAAAUAAGCAAAUAGUAGCGGAGAUUCAGAACCGUGGAUAGCAAACAACAUGGAACAAAUGUUGCAAAUGUCCAUUUCCUUGAGCACUUGUGUGGACACAAUGUAGGGUUGUCAGAUGUUCUGUUAACAGUGAGUAGCCACAAUUGAUAUUUCCAGCCUCUGCCAGUGCAGAGGCCUGAAAUCUCAUAAUACCUGUUACCGGUAUUAAACCACACAACAGAAGUAUUUGGCUAUUGACCAGGUCCAGAGAAACAUACAUACCUAUUCAGUUUUCACUUGUUUAUGCCUCUGUAUCUGUGCAUGUAGUAGACUUUACCUUGAGCCAGAAAACAAAGGUUAAGUCAUCAAACAAACCUGGAUAUUUCUGUCUGUCUCAUUCCAGACUUUCAAAGUACUUUAAAAAAAGGAAUAACAAUGUUUAUUUUCUUGUAAAUGUAUUUAAUUCCAGCCUAGAUUAUUUUCACCCUCCACAACUCUUUCUAAUAUGUGUGUUUGUUCCAUCACUUGUGAGAAAUUGCAUUUAAUUUAAUAAACAAGUAAAGAUUUGAAAAUAUGACUAUCAGAGUUUUCUAACUCACACGCGUGUGCGUGUGCGUGUGCGUGUGUGUGUGUGUGUAUGUGUGUGUAAGAGGCCUGGCCAGGCCAGGGAGGCUCUAUUGUGUAACCAAGCGACGGGCUCUUAGCAACCAGAUUAGCCACUCCUACUGCACAGCGUCUCCAUUCAGUGGAGUAAAAGCACCAGGAAAUGCUGUAAUCCUCUCUCGGGCCUAUUGCAUGUAAUCCUACU
ensembl:lncRNA